rnacentral:tRNA from 1 species
AAAGGGAGACCUAAUUCAGGUAGGAGACGAAAAAAAAGUAGUCGCUACCAAGAAUCAAUCCCAAAAGGUCGGAGCGAGGCGAAAUUGGCUUUCAAACUAGGUUCUGGGUUCAAACAAGACCUGAAUCAGGAACAAGGGCUAUUAGCUCAGGUGGUUAGAGCGCACCCCUGAUAAGGGUGAGGUCCCUGGUUCGAGUCCAGGAUGGCCCACCUGUACAGGUGGCAAAAAGAAAGAAAAGAAGCGAGGAAUCAGCACCUUAUCUUACUGACAUAGUAAGAGAGAAUGCUGGCUCUGAGUAAAGAGUCCAGAGGAACCUUGAAAACUGCAUAGAGCUAGGUGGAAAAGCCAAAAAAGAAGACCGCAAG